GGAAGACUUAAGAUGGCGGCGUUUGCACGGAGUGCAAUCACUGCGUCCUUACGGGGGUUGCAAGGCGUCCGAAGUAUGAGUCCACUAACAAAAGUCCAGAAACUCGCCAGUUAAUAGUAUUGUGUCUCUUCAAAAUAUCGGAGAAUAAUUUCUUUCUCGCUGAUCGCCUAACUUCUACUGACGAAGCUUGGAAGUUGCAGAAGGCUGGAGUGCAAUGGCGCCAUCUCGUCUCACUGCAACUUCCGCCUCCCGGGUUCAAGCGAUUCUCCUGCCUCAGCCUCCCAAGUAGCUGGGAUUACAGGUACUGGCUCCUGUAUCACCCAGCUCUGGAGUUGAAAGAGCUCUUCAUUCCUGAGUCUCCUGUACCACUGAGAAUAGGCUGGAGUGCAGUGGCGCAAUCUCGGCUCUCUGCAACCUUCACCUCCCGUGUUCAAGUGAUUCUCCUGCCUCAGCCUCCUGAAUACCUGAGAUUACAAGCAUGAGCCACCGCGUCCAGCAAGAAUAGGUGAUUUUCAAACUUGGAAACAUUCAGAAGUUAUCGCCUCAGUUUCAGAUUGAGUAGUCUCAAAGAGAUUACAGACAUCUACCACAAAUUCUCUACUUGGUGUGGUGCAAAAUCAGUAUGAUGUAAACUUUGUCUCUCAGUUUCUUCAAAGGAAAGAAGCAACUGGAACACACAUAUAACACUAACCCUUCCAGCUGCAUUAUGAGGGACCAGUACCUGUCUCAAGGCAAAAUUAUGACUUAGUUCAUCCUCACCUCUGGAGGCCAGUAAAAGUGGGUUAUAGAAGAACAAAGAGGCAUCUAGAUCUUUCACUGGGUUAUUUGGAGAGAAACAUCUCCUACCGAAGGCCAGUUUAACAAGACUGGUAGAGGAGGUUAUCUUAUCUAAUUCACAGAAAUCAACACAUUGAGUCAAGAAAAAUGAAACACAGAAACACUCUAAAUAAAAGAAGAUAAGUCUUCAGAAACCAACCCUAAUGAAAUGAAGAUAUGUGAUUAACCUGACAGGAAAUUAAAAAGAGCAACCAUAAAGAGUCUCAUGGGAGCAAUGCAUGAACAAACUGAGAAUUUUCAUAAAGAAAUAAAAGAUAACAAAAAGUAUAAAGUUGAAGAAUACAAUAACUGGACUCAAAAAUUUAAUGUGUCCAACAGAAGAAUCGAUGAAGCAGAAGAAAGGGCUAUCAAACUUGUAGAUAGGCCAUUGGAAAUCAUGUAAUGUGAGGAGAAAAAAGAAAAAAGAUUGAAGAUAGUUUAAGAGACUUUUGAGACAUCCUCAAAGGGGAAUAAUUUAUACAUUACCAGAUGGAGAAGAUAGAGGGAAAAGGACAGAAAACAUAUUUGAAGAAAUAAUGUCAGAAAACCUCAUAAUUCUGGCAAGGAAAUAGAAAUUUAGAUCUAAGAAUCUCGAACAUCAGGUAUGAUGAAUCCAAGGAGACUCACACCAAACCAUAUUGUAAUUAAAUAAAGGUUAAAGACAAUCUUCAGAGCAGCAAGGGAAUAGUCUCUUCUUACAUACAAAAUGAUCCACGGAAGACUGUCAGCAGACUUCACCAGAAAACUUUCACGCCAGAAGGCAGUCGUGAUAUAUACAAAAAGCUGAAAGGAAAACACUGCCAUCCAGGAAUACUAUCUCCAACUAUCCUGUGUUUCAAAAAUUAAGGAGAAAUAUAAA
rnacentral:lncRNA from 1 species